rnacentral:rRNA from 1 species
UACGUAGGGUGCAAGCGUUAAUCGGAAUUACUGGGCGUAAAGCGUGCGCAGGCGGUUUUGUAAGUCUGUCGUGAAAUCCCCGGGCUCAACCUGGGAAUUGCGAUGGAGACUGCAAGGCUAGAGUGUGUCAGAGGGGGGUAGAAUUCCACGUGUGAGCAGUGAAAUGCGUAGAUAUGUGGAGGAACACCGAUGGCGAAGGCAGCCCCCUGGGAUAACACUGACGCUCAUGCACGAAAGGCGUGGG